rnacentral:rRNA from 1 species
GGGUUGUGAGGUUAAGCGACUAAGCGUACACGGUGGAUGCCCUGGCAGUCAGAGGCGAUGAAGGACGUGCUAAUCUGCGAAAAGCGUCGGUAAGGUGAUAUGAACCGUUAUAACCGGCGAUGUCCGAAUGGGGAAACCCAGUGCAAUUCGUUGCACUAUCGUUAACUGAAUACAUAGGUUAACGAGGCGAACCGGGGGAACUGAAACAUCUAAGUACCCCGAGGAAAAGAAAUCAACCGAGAUUCCCCCAGUAGCGGCGAGCGAACGGGGAGCAGCCCAGAGUCUGAAUCAGCUUGUGUGUUAGUGGAACGGUCUGGAAAGUCCGACGGUACAGGGUGAUAGUCCCGUACACCAAAAUGCACAGGCUGUGAACUCGAAGAGUAGGGCGGGACACGUGGUAUCCUGUCUGAAUAUGGGGGGACCAUCCUCCAAGGCUAAAUACUCCUGACUGACCGAUAGUGAACCAGUACCGUGAGGGAAAGGCGAAAAGAACCCCGGCGAGGGGAGUGAAAAAGAACCUGAAACCGUGUACGUACAAGCAGUGGGAGCACCUUCGGGUGUGACUGCGUACCUUUUGUAUAAUGGGUCAGCGACUUAUAUUCUGUAGCAAGGUUAACCGUAUAGGGGAGCCGCAGGGAAACCGAGUCUUAACUGGGCGUUAAGUUGCAGGGUAUAGACCCGAAACCCGGUGAUCUAGCCAUGGGCAGGUUGAAGGUUGGGUAACACUAACUGGAGGACCGAACCGACUAAUGUUGAAAAAUUAGCGGAUGACUUGUGGCUGGGGGUGAAAGGCCAAUCAAACCGGGAGAUAGCUGGUUCUCCCCGAAAGCUAUUUAGGUAGCGCCUCGUGAACUCAUCUUCGGGGGUAGAGCACUGUUUCGGCUAGGGGGUCAUCCCGACUUACCAACCCGAUGCAAACUACGAAUACCGAAGAAUGUUAUCACGGGAGACACACGGCGGGUGCUAACGUCCGUCGUGAAGAGGGAAACAACCCAGACCGCCAGCUAAGGUCCCAAAGUCAUGGUUAAGUGGGAAACGAUGUGGGAAGGCACAGACAGCCAGGAUGUUGGCUUAGAAGCAGCCAUCAUUUAAAGAAAGCGUAAUAGCUCACUGGUCGAGUCGGCCUGCGCGGAAGAUGUAACGGGGCUAAACCAUGCACCGAAGCUGCGGCAGCGACACUAUGUGUUGUUGGGUAGGGGAGCGUUCUGUAAGCCUGCGAAGGUGUGCUGUGAGGCAUGCUGGAGGUAUCAGAAGUGCGAAUGCUGACAUAAGUAACGAUAAAGCGGGUGAAAAGCCCGCUCGCCGGAAGACCAAGGGUUCCUGUCCAACGUUAAUCGGGGCAGGGUGAGUCGACCCCUAAGGCGAGGCCGAAAGGCGUAGUCGAUGGGAAACAGGUUAAUAUUCCUGUACUUGGUGUUACUGCGAAGGGGGGACGGAGAAGGCUAUGUUAGCCGGGCGACGGUUGUCCCGGUUUAAGCAUGUAGGCUGAUUGUCCAGGCAAAUCCGGAUAAUCAAGGCUGAGGUGUGAUGACGAGGCACUACGGUGCUGAAGUAACAAAUGCCCUGCUUCCAGGAAAAGCCUCUAAGCAUCAGGUAACAUCAAAUCGUACCCCAAACCGACACAGGUGGUCAGGUAGAGAAUACCAAGGCGCUUGAGAGAACUCGGGUGAAGGAACUAGGCAAAAUGGUGCCGUAACUUCGGGAGAAGGCACGCUGGUGUGUAGGUGAAGUCCCUGCGGAUGGAGCUGAGACCAGUCGAAGAUACCAGCUGGCUGCAACUGUUUAUUAAAAACACAGCACUGUGCAAACACGAAAGUGGACGUAUACGGUGUGACGCCUGCCCGGUGCCGGAAGGUUAAUUGAUGGGGUUAUCCGUAAGGAGAAGCUCUUGAUCGAAGCCCCGGUAAACGGCGGCCGUAACUAUAACGGUCCUAAGGUAGCGAAAUUCCUUGUCGGGUAAGUUCCGACCUGCACGAAUGGCGUAAUGAUGGCCAGGCUGUCUCCACCCGAGACUCAGUGAAAUUGAACUCGCUGUGAAGAUGCAGUGUACCCGCGGCAAGACGGAAAGACCCCGUGAACCUUUACUAUAGCUUGACACUGAACAUUGAGCCUUGAUGUGUAGGAUAGGUGGGAGGCUUUGAAGCGUGGACGCCAGUCUGCGUGGAGCCAACCUUGAAAUACCACCCUUUAAUGUUUGAUGUUCUAACGUUGGCCCCUGACCGGGGUUGCGGACAGUGUCUGGUGGGUAGUUUGACUGGGGCGGUCUCCUCCCAAAGCGUAACGGAGGAGCACGAAGGUUAGCUAAUCCUGGUCGGACAUCAGGAGGUUAGUGCAAUGGCAUAAGCUAGCUUGACUGCGAGCGUGACGGCGCGAGCAGGUGCGAAAGCAGGUCAUAGUGAUCCGGUGGUUCUGAAUGGAAGGGCCAUCGCUCAACGGAUAAAAGGUACUCCGGGGAUAACAGGCUGAUACCGCCCAAGAGUUCAUAUCGACGGCGGUGUUUGGCACCUCGAUGUCGGCUCAUCACAUCCUGGGGCUGAAGUAGGUCCCAAGGGUAUGGCUGUUCGCCAUUUAAAGUGGUACGCGAGCUGGGUUUAGAACGUCGUGAGACAGUUCGGUCCCUAUCUGCCGUGGGCGCUGGAGAAUUGAGGGGGGCUGCUCCUAGUACGAGAGGACCGGAGUGGACGCAUCACUGGUGUUCGGGUUGUCAUGCCAAUGGCACUGCCCGGUAGCUAAAUGCGGAAGAGAUAAGUGCUGAAAGCAUCUAAGCACGAAACUUGCCCCGAGAUGAGUUCUCCCUGAGACUCUAAGUCUCCUGAAGGAACGUUGAAGACGACGACGUUGAUAGGCCGGGUGUGUAAGCGCAGCGAUGCGUUGAGCUAACCGGUACUAAUGAACCGUGAGGCUUAACCUUACAACGCCGAAG